CUCACCGCACUCCUUUUCCCUCUCAAACUCUCUCUCUCUCCCUCGUUAACCAAAAAUCUCUCUCUUUCUUAUGCUAGGGCUACCGAUCUUCCUCUUCACAUCCCCACCUCCCAAACACACCCACAACCAUCAUCACCCUCAAAGCUCUGCUUUUUAUUUUGGAACGGCUUCGUAGCAAGAGGUAUGGGUCACUCUGGCAUACCUCCCCCAUCCACUAAUCGGUCUACUCGCAAUCCUGACAACUACAAGCAUAACUGGGAGCAGGCGGAGCAUGAAUUGAUGCAAAUGAGAGUGGAAUUGAGGGAAAUGCAGCAGCGAUUGGAACAAACGGAGGAAAGACAACGAAGAAUGGAGGAAAGACAACGAAAAACAGAGGAAAGACAACGAAAAGCAGAGGAAAGACAAAAAGAAAUAGAUUGUAAGCUAGCGUUCCUAAUGGAACACUUCAAGUCUUGCUGAUCGUUUGUGCUAGAGCAGCAGUUAGGAGCAAAUGAAUGAGUAGAGAUUGCAUUCCACUAUCUAAACUUCGAUCGUUAACCAAGCAAUAAGCGUCAUCUCUGCACUAUGAAGACUUGAAAGCAACAGUUAAUGAGCUUGCCGAAGCUUCUGAUGCCUUCAAGGUCCCUCAAUUUGCUGUGGAAUGUGAGGUGGUAGUCUAAAUUCAAUUGUGGAAUACAAUGUUAUGCUGAUGUGAUGCCAAAAUUUAGCUAGGUUUUAUAAUGAGGGUGAGGGGUGCUUUGGUAAGGAACUUCAUGUUCUACGACUUUUAUUGUAAUGAACUUUUUUUGCAAUUAGGUUAUUUGGUUGUUUUUG